AGGAUAUAUUAUUCAACCCAUCCACAAGAGCAUCUCUCCAGGAGAAAUAAACAGGCGUUACUUUUGAUGAACUAGAGCUAUUCUAAGUAAAGCCUUCAGAUGAGUUCAGCACCAAUCAACAUUCUGAAUGCAACCACGUGAGGACCCUGAGUCAGGUCCACUGAGUCAAGCUGCUUUGGAAUUCCUGACCUACAGAAACCGAAUACCAGGAUAGAGAGAAAGAGAAGCCACAAUGAUACCACAGAAAGAAAGCUAGACAUCUUCAUUCAGGUGAGAGAAAGAGUGGAAGAAGAGAAAACUAAUCCAGG
rnacentral:lncRNA from 10 species